rnacentral:rRNA from 1 species
UACGUAGGGCGCAAGCGUUGUCCGGAAUUAUUGGGCGUAAAGAGCUCGUAGGCGGUCUGUCACGUCUGCCGUGAAAACCCGAGGCUUAACCUCGUGGCUUGCGGUGGAUACGGGCAGACUAGAGGUAGGUAGGGGAGAAUGGAAUUCCCGGUGUAGCGGUGAAAUGCGCAGAUAUCGGGAGGAACACCGGUGGCGAAGGCGGUCUCUGGGCCUUACCUGACGCUGAGGAGCGAAAGCGUGGGGAGCGAACAGG